rnacentral:lncRNA from 1 species
GGCUGAAAUUUCAUGUGGUCUUUUCAAACAGCUUACAAUCAUUAAAAUCCUGACGGAAAAUAUUUACACAAGAAGCAACCUAAUAUCACACAGUCAAACUCUCAGUCAAUUUAGAAAUCUGUGGAGUGGUUGAAAAACGAGUUUUAAUGACUCCAACACAUCUAAACUCCCCAGUGAUAUAGUGAUGGAAGUAGGAAGACAGUAUGGAUCAGCAGCAGCUUGCUGAAUACAAUUUGGUGACAGAUUAGACUGCUUACAGCCACACCAGGAAGGGACUGCCACAAUCUCCAGAAAAAGCUCUAUCUGUCCUCCUUGACAAAUCAGGAUUGAUUCAGGUGCCGUUCCUUAAGAGCUAGUUUCUAAAAACUUCGGAACAGAAUAAAUUAAUGGUAAUAUUAAGCAAACAAGCGCAGAGCCGAAAACAAUAGAAGAAUUGCAG